AACGCACAUUGCGCCCGCCAGCAUUCUGGCGGGCAUGCCUGUUCGAGCGUCAUUUCAACCCUCAAGCACCGCUUGGCGUUGGGGCCCUACGGCUUCCGUAGGCCCCGAAAUACAGUGGCGGACCCUCCCGGAGCCUCCUUUGCGUAGUAACAUACCACCUCGCACUGGGAUCCGGAGGGACUCCUGCCGUAAAACCCCCCAAUUUUCCAAAGGUUGACCUCGGAUCAGGUAGGAAUACCCGCUGAACUUAA
rnacentral:misc_RNA from 1 species